AUAUUUGCUGGAAUGCUUUAUGCGUCAAAAGGAUUCGUCUGCCCAAGGAUGGGUCUGCGGCCUAUCAGGUAGUAGUGGGUGUAAUGUACCUACUAGCCAGCGACGGGUACGGGUUGUGAGAGCAAGAGCCCGGAGAUGGAUUCUGAGACAUGAAUCCAGGCCCUACGGGGCGCAGCAGGCGCGAAAACUUUACAAUGCGGGAAACCGUGAUAAGGGGACACCGAGUGCCAGCAUCAUAUGCUGGCUGUCCGGAUGUGUAAAAUACAUCCGUUAGCAAGGGCCGGGCAAGACCGGUGCCAGCCGCCGCGGUAACACCGGCGGCCCGAGUGGUGAUCGUGAUUAUUGGGUCUAAAGGGUCCGUAGCCGGUUUGGUCAGUCCUCCGGGAAAUCUGAUAGCUCAACUAUUAGGCUUUCGGGGGAUACUGCCAGACUUGGAACCGGGAGAGGUAAGAGGUACUACAGGGGUAGGAGUGAAAUCUUGUAAUCCCUGUGGGACCACCUGUGGCGAAGGCGUCUUACCAGAACGGGUUCGACGGUGAGGGACGAAAGCUGGGGGCACGAACCGGAUUAGAUACCCGGGUAGUCCCAGCCGUAAACGAUGCUCGCUAGGUGUCAGGCAUGGCGCGACCGUGUCUGGUGCCGCAGGGAAGCCGUGAAGCGAGCCACCUGGGAAGUACGGCCGCAAGGCUGAAACUUAAAGGAAUUGGCGGGGGAGCACAACAACGGGUGGAGCCUGCGGUUUAAUUGGACUCAACGCCGGACAACUCACCGGGGGCGACAGCAAUAUGUAGGCCAAGCUGAAGACUUUGCCUGAAUCGCUGAGAGGAGGUGCAUGGCCGUCGCCAGUUCGUACUGUGAAGCAUCCUGUUAAGUCAGGCAACGAGCGAGACCCGUGCCCACUGUUACCAGCAUGUCCUCCGGGACGAUGGGUACUCUGUGGGGACCGCCGAUGUUAAAUCGGAGGAAGGUGCGGGCCACGGUAGGUCAGUAUGC
rnacentral:rRNA from 1 species